ensembl:lncRNA
CUUACUGCUGUGCCAAGCUGAAAGUUGGUACGGAGAACUGUGUAUUUUGAAAAAGUGACCUAAGUAUUGAGAAUCUAUCGUAGCAAUUGUAAAAACCUGUAACAUUCUUUUUUUUUUAUUUAAACAAUUGUUUUCAACAAGUCAAAACAACGGAAAAAUGUUCCUCCCCAAGUUAACAUGUAAUUUUAUGCUUCAGCUACUAGACAAACAUAAAUAACAUGGAGUAGAUUCAAAAUUUGAACCUGGAAGACACUGGAAAAGCAGCAUUGCAUCUCUCUCUUUAGCGUCUCGUGUUUGAAGCAAACUAAAUUAACCCAUUAGCAGAGCUGUCACAUGGAUGUUUGAACAUGGUGUCCUUUGGCACAGCAGGCACUGGCUUGCCCUUGUGUCACACUCAACUCACCAGGGGCUGGAUUGUGUCUGCUGAGGGGCACUUCUGCCAGCUGCCCAUGUCACACCUCCUCGUUUGCCAUGCUAUUUGAGUGCUUAACAUACAACAUGUGAAUCAGUGGCGUUGGCUUAUUUAUCUGUUUGAAAUUUCAGAGACAAUUGCUUUCUCACCCUGAUGGGAGCUGUGCCGAUGCAAACCAGUUAGUUAGAUUCCCACUCCACUCCAACAAGUGAAAUCUGGCAACUGGUCUAUCAAUCUACCAUGCGGAAUGUUUUGGAGUCUCCAAAACGAGAAUUCAACCCUCAGAGGAAGCGUAAAGAGAAAAGAUGUGUUUCUUGGCUGCAUGAAGGUCGGUCAUAAACACAUCCUGGCAGGGAUUCCAGUUAUUCCUAUCAGAGAGGAAACAGAAGCUUUCAUAGGAAGGCC